AGUGAACGCUGGCGGUAGGCCUAACACAUGCAAGUCGAACGGCAGCACAGUAAGAGCUUGCUCUUACGGGUGGCGAGUGGCGGACGGGUGAGGAAUACAUCGGAAUCUACUUUUUCGUGGGGGAUAACGUAGGGAAACUUACGCUAAUACCGCAUACGACCUACGGGUGAAAGCAGGGGAUCUUCGGACCUUGCGCGAUUGAAUGAGCCGAUGUCGGAUUAGCUAGUUAGCGGGGUAAAGGCCCACCAAGGCGACGAUCCGUAGCUGGUCUGAGAGGAUGAUCAGCCACACUGGAACUGAGGCACGGUCCAGACUCCUACGGGAGGCAGCAGUGGGGAAUAUUGGACAAUGGGCGCAAGCCUGAUCCAGCCAUACCGCGUGGGUGAAGAAGGCCUUCGGGUUGUAAAGCCCUUUUGUUGGGAAAGAAAAGCAGCAGGUUAAUACCCCGCUGUUCUGACGGUACCCAAAGAAUAAGCACCGGCUAACUUCGUG
rnacentral:rRNA from 1 species